AAGCAUCAGGAAAAUUUCAGCAGAGUCUAUUGAACAGCUCUUCUGAAAAAUCAAUGAUGCAAUAGAAAUCUUGGAUUCCAAGAUGACCUCUCCAUUUGUGAGAGGUCGUCAUUUCACCCCAAGGACAACU